rnacentral:rRNA from 1 species
UACAGAGGUCUCAAGCGUUGUUCGGAUUCAUUGGGCGUAAAGGGUGCGUAGGCGGCGCGGUAAGUCGGGUGUGAAAUCCUGGAGCUCAACUCCAGAACUGCCUUUGAUACUGAGAAGCUUGAGUCCGGGAGAGGUGAGUGGAACUGCGAGUGUAGAGGUGAAAUUCGUAGAUAUUCGCAAGAACACCAGUGGCGAAGGCGGCUCACUGGCCCGGUACUGACGCUGAGGUGCGAAAGCGUGGGGAGCAAACAGG